rnacentral:lncRNA from 1 species
CAGCCAAACCUCCGGAGCCUCCCAAAGAAGAGCCCAAGGUAGAAGAGGCCAAACCUGAGGAGCCAAAGAAGGAAGAGGCAGCUGCACCUGCUGCCGAAGAAAAGAAGGAAGAUCCACCCAAAGCAGAGGAGCCCAAGAAAGAGGUAAGUUUCCAAAAUUCCACCAAGGAGAAGAGAACGGAAUACUUGCAACUAGCUUUAUGAACAACUUCGACCAAAUCAGUCGGCAAACUUUUCUUUUGCAAACUCGUGACCAUUGACAUCAGAAUUCAUCUUUGGCAUUCAAUCAUUCUUAAAAAAAAAUCAAAGGCAGUUAUCAACAUGAGAAAGACAGUGAGAGUUGAGAUAGUCCACCAAGGAUUUCACACAAUUGUAAGACAAUGGCUUAGGAUAUAAUACGGGUUACGGGUUAUGACCCACUACUCAAAAAUACAAAUCAAAAGAAUGGCAAGAAACAAGAAACAAUUAAAUCAAUAAUCAAACUCAAGAGUCGACACCAAAAUGUAAAAAAAGAGAAGAAAAAAGAAAAAGAAAAAGAAAAAACUUUGUACGUUUUGUAGAUAUUUAUAGUUGUAGAUUGAAGCUUGAAGAGACUUGCACGUGGGGGUCCUGUGUCGAUGACGUAGGAAGAGAAGAAACCUGAGGCCGCGGCACCACCACCAGCUGAGGAAAAGAAGGGAGACGACAAGAAGGCCGAGGAAGCCAAAACGGAUGAGAAGAAAGAAGAAGCAGCACCGGCACCGGCACCACCCACCGAAACGAAAGAAGAGGCAGCCAAGCCAGCUGAGGAACAACCCAAGGCAGUGGAGGAGAAGAAAGACCCAC